UAAGUUCAUAGUUUUCUGGCGUCUCUAGACUUCUGGGUAUUGUUGCUAAGGAAAAAUGAAACUUGAAGACAAGGGAGGUUUGAAAUCUGUUGUUGCUUUCUGUGCUUUUUGACUAAUUCCAGCUUUCCUGUCUCCCAAGUUGUCUGAGGCCACAUGAACUGACAAUAUGGAUGGGAAGAUCAGAGUAAAGACAGUAGUCAAGGCUUGUUCUCCGUAUCUAGCUGGGUACAACAUCCCUUGCACUGAUCCUGAGCAAUCUGAAUAUAAUCCUCCAGUGGGAAAGCUGUUUAAAAGCCAUGGCACCGGGCCUUCUAUUUGAAACCUUUUUGCUUAAAACGAGGAAUGUGUGAUGUCAGAGCCUCCCGCACUGCCUCCGAGCCAGGGCGUCUGCGUUAUUAAGGACACUUUGGCUUAG
rnacentral:lncRNA from 1 species